rnacentral:lncRNA from 1 species
UUGUAAGCCUCCUUUGAGGCUGCAAUAAGGUCUCCUGAAGCCUUCUUUUCUCCAUCGUUAACAGCACGUUGCCCGGUCACAUCCAGCCUCUCACCCAGCGGCAUUCCCAAGUCCUUCUGGGCAGGGCUGCUCUGCAGCCCUUCAGCCGCAGCCUGCGGUGAUGCUGGGGCUGGUCCCGACCCGGGCGAGGGGCCUUGCGUUCGGCUUUGUCCAACCUGCUGACGGUCCCGUGCUUGUGGAGCUCGUCCAGGCCCCUCCGGUGCCUCAGGCACGUCAGCCUCGGGUGUAAGCCGGGAGCGCUGGGGCUGCCCUGAGGCAGAGAGGGCACAGCUGAGCAGGGCCGCUCCCCGGGACACGGUGGCCGAGCGGAGGAGUGACGAGGAGCAGGACGAGUUUUGGGGUGCGACACCGGCCGCAGUGUCCCCGGGCCGGGCCGCCCGAGGCGGGGACACCCGCAGGUCCCGGCAGAGCCUCCAGAGGGCGCUCCCGGCCCCCUUUUGGAGGCGCUCCGGCCCGCGGAUCCCGGCGAGCUCCCAGAGCUUGUCCCGGCUCCCAGCCGGCCUGAAAGGCAUCAACACGGGCAGCAGAUCUCCCAGGAAAAAACGGCAGUGCAUAGGAAAGAAAUAAGGGUGUUCCUCUUGGAGAGCUCCAGCUGGAGUGGAAAGACUGUCUCAGGAGCUGGAGCUGAAUAGAAGAGAGACAAAAGAGGAGAAUGAUGACUCCUGAGGUCUGAUCCCAGCUCCUCUAGCAAGCAGGGCUACGGACUUCAGAUAAGGAACCAUUACGGUGACAUGUGUACACAUGGAUCAAGAUACCAGUAAUCAAACGUUCUGCUUCUUGAGAGACCCUGUGCAGCUGCCAUCACCAGAGGGGAGCAGAGAACAGCUUCUGCCUAAAGGAACACAAAGACGAACAUUUUUAUUAACAAUCCAAGCACUAGAAAUGGAAAAAACAAGGAGAAAUAAACCCAGGUCAGUCUUCCAAAUGUCUGUGAACUGGGAGACUCCUUAGUGACCCCACCCAGAACUCUAUCACUGCAGUUCCUGUGGUAGCUUAGGAUCUAAAAUAUAUAUUUCAGGAGGCUUUUUUCAGAGCACUUUUUUUUUUUUUUUUUUGGAAGCUGAUGAAUGAAUUGACAAAAUCAGCAUAUGAGCUGUGAGAUAUUUAUUCAUUGACGCCUACCAAAUUGGACUUUCCUGCAAACUUGAGAGGAUGGCUCUGUUGUCUCUCUUUCCUCUGCACCUGAGACAGCUAAAUGCACCAUGAAGACCUUACUGAGUUCCUGCUCCAAGCCUCAUCCUGGUCAACACAGAGAUUCCUUUUGACCUUUCUGGAAGUUGGAUUAGGCCUUUAAAAGUCAUACAUUUUAAAACAUUCCAUGAAGGUUAUGUUUGCUUUAAAACCACGAUGAAGUAAAUGCAAAACUGUAUUAAUAUUUAACAUUGGCUUAUAAAAACUAGGAACUUGUAGUCAGGACAGCUGGUAAAAGUUUAAUUCACAUCAUCGUUUCAAAAUGAAAAUGCAGAGAAGGACAGAAUAUCACAUUUUCUCUUUCUUAAUCUAUUUGUUUUUCUUUUAUAUUCUGUUUUGUUAUUUCUAUAGCCAUAUCUGUUAAAUAGCCAUGAAAAAUUUUUUUAAUUUAUGCAAAUUUUUUUAUUUGCUUUUCUGAUUUGCUGGUGGUACUGGUUAUACAUACAGAAAUCAAAACAGGAAAAAAAAAAGGGGUCAGAGGGAAAAAAAAAUAGAAUAGAUUAGUUAAAGUAAAAAAAAACAAAACCCAACAAAUACAGUGCUUUUGGACUGUAUUUAGGAUUUGGCCAGAAGUCGAAUGUCUUGAUAGAUGGUUCUGAGUGCACAGUUUUAUUGCUGGUACACAGCACACUUUGUUCCUUUUGUUUGACUGAACUUGCCAACUUAGGAAAUUAGUGACAUGGGCAUUCAAAACGCUGGACAAGUGGUCAGACUCUGAUAUACAUAUUCAUACCCCAGUGGUAAAUGACGUCAGGAAGUUUCAGAUGCAGGAAAAAUGCAUUCUUUCGUCCAGCACAGCUUUAAUAUAAGUUUCAUAAGCACUUUCACCGUUCGAGCAAGAGUGCCUCUAAGAUAGCACACAGGGGAGACAUCAUUUAAAGAAAUGUUUCUUUGCUUGAACCAGAAGUCCAAAUCUGCUCAGUUCAUUUAAAAUGUCUUUUUCCUCUAGAAUAAAUGAAUAAGCAGUUCCUUUUGUGGUUUUUGC